rnacentral:rRNA from 1 species
GACGAACGCUGGCGGCGUGCUUAACACAUGCAAGUCGAACGGAAAGGCCCUGCUCUUGUGGGGUGCUCGAGUGGCGAACGGGUGAGUAACACGUGAGUAACCUGCCCUUGACUUUGGGAUAACUUCAGGAAACUGGGGCUAAUACCGGAUAGGAGCUCCUGCUGCAUGGUGGGGGUUGGAAAGUUUCGGCGGUUGGGGAUGGACUCGCGGCUUAUCAGCUUGUUGGUGGGGUAGUGGCUUACCAAGGCUUUGACGGGUAGCCGGCCUGAGAGGGUGACCGGCCACAUUGGGACUGAGAUACGACCCAGACGCGUACGGGAGGCAGCAGUGGGGAAUAUUGCGCAGUGGGGGGACGCCUGAUGCAGCGGCGCCGUGUGCGUGAUGACGGCCUUCGGGUUGUAAACCGCUUUCGCCUGUGAUGAGGCGUGAGUGACGGUAAUGGGUAAAGAAGCACCGGCUAACUACGUG